GGAGAGGUGGUAGAGUGGUCGAUUACAGCGGUCUUGAAAACCGCCGAACGGCGACGUUCCGGGGGUUCGAAUCCCUCCCUCUCCG
rnacentral:tRNA from 2 species